CAAGUUGGCCAGGCAGUCGCUGUAAUGUUUUUGCAUUAUGGAGGAAAGUCCGGGCUUCGCAGGGUAAGAUGCCAGGUAACGCCUGGGGGGCGUGAGCCUACGGAAAGUGCAGCAGAAAAUAAACCGCCUAAGUAGUUUUCUACCGGUAAGGUUGAAAUGGUGCGGUAAGAGCGCACCGCGCAACUGGUAACAGUUUGCGGCAAGGUAAACCCCAUCUGAAGCAAGACCAAAUAGGAAUCCAUUGGCGUGACCCGUGCUGGAUUCGGGUAGGUUGCUAGAGGCAUGUAGCGAUGCAUGUUCGAGAGGAAUGACUGUCCACGACAGAACCCGGCUUAUCGGCCAACUUGCAUA
rfam:Marinomonas sp. S3726 contig0031, whole genome shotgun sequence.